rnacentral:rRNA from 1 species
GACGAACGCUGGCGGCGUGCCUAAUACAUGCAAGUCGAGCGGAUCUUCAUUAGCUUGCUUUUGAAGAUCAGCGGCGGACGGGUGAGUAACACGUGGGCAACCUGCCUGUAAGACUGGGAUAACUUCGGGAAACCGGAGCUAAUACCGGAUAAUCCUUUUCCUCUCAUGAGGAAAAGCUGAAAGACGGUUUCGGCUGUCACAUACAGAUGGGCCCGCGGCGCAUUAGCUAGUUGGUGAGGUAACGGCUCACCAAGGCGACGAUGCGUAGCCGACCUGAGAGGGUGAUCGGCCACACUGGGACUGAGACACGGCCCAGACUCCUACGGGAGGCAGCAGUGGGGAAUAUUGGUCAAUGGGCGCAAGCCUGAACCAGCCACGCCGCGUGAGUGAUGAAGGCCUUCGGGUUGUAAAGCUCUGUGGGGAGGGAAGAAAACGGCCGAGAAGAAACGCUCGGUCCUUGACGGUACCUCCUUAGCAAGCACCGGCUAACUCUGUGCCAGCCGCCGCGGUAACAC